rnacentral:tRNA from 1 species
UUCGCGAUGGUCGACGGCGCGGACGCGCUGCUCGUGGCCGGGUCGUCGCUCACGGUGAUGAGCGGCCUGCGGUUCGUGCGCCGCGCCGCCGAG